rnacentral:rRNA from 1 species
GGGAGUACGGCCGCAAGGUUGAAACUCAAAGGAAUUGACGGGGGCCCGCACAAGCGGAGGAACAUGUGGUUUAAUUCGAUGAUACGCGAGGAACCUUACCCGGGCUCGAACGGCAGCUGAAUAUUCCAGAGAUGGGAUAGUCUUCGGACAGUUGUCGAGGUGCUGCAUGGUUGUCGUCAGCUCGUGCUGUGAAGUGUCGGCUUAAGUGCCAUAACGAGCGCAACCCUUGCCUUCAGUUGCCAUCAGGUUAAGCUGGGGACUCUGGAGGGACUGCCACCGCAAGGUGCGAGGAAGGGGGGGAUGACGUCAAAUCAGCACGGCCCUUACGUCCGGGGCGACACACGUGUUACAAUGGCAGGUACAGAGGGGUGCUACCGGGCGACCGGAUGCCGAUCUCGAAAACCUGUCCCAGUUCGGACUGGAGUCUGCAACCCGACUCCACGAAGUUGGAUUCGCUAGUAAUCGCGCAUCAGCCAUGGCGCGGUGAAUACGUUCCCGGGCCUUGUACACACCGCCCGUCAAGCCAUGGGAGCCGGGGGCGCCUGAAGUCCGGGACCGCGAGGACCGGCCUAGGGCGAAACUGGUGACUGGGGCUAAGUCGUAACAAGGUAACCGU